AUCCCGGGAGCCUAGGCGAGCCCGGGCGGAAGGGCGGAAGGCGCAGUCAUCAACAGAACAGGGGCGCGGCCCCUCCCUCCAACCCUGGCCGCCCCGCCUGCCAGGCGCCAGGACUGUGAAGUGCGCAGAGCCAGCCUCACCCUCGUGGGCGUGCGCCCGGACUACAGGGUUGCCUGAGACUGACGGUGAUACACAGCAAGGGGGACAGUUAAGGGACGCCAAGCAUAGUGCAACCCUGAGGAAGCCUCACCAGAGGAUGUACUCUGCUCUGCCUGAGACUUUCUUUAUUAGGAACUCCAGCUGGCUGCCUUAAAGGUCCUGUCUUCUUCAUGCCAAUUUGUAACAAAUAGGGACAAUUAUUCCCAGCAUCUAGCCAAGACCGGAACACAAACAAGUACUUCAAAUGUUUAAAGCAAGUCUGAUUAAUUCGCCAAAGGAUUUGUAAUAUUACCUGCAGAAGGAAUGGUAUCUCCCACGGAUCCAGGGUCUCGCUUUCUUUUCUUGGGUAGUUUUGUUUUGCAAAGUUGCUCAAAAUGAAUCUGCAUGGCACUGUCUAUGGUAAGGAAGUUACAUUGUAGCAGACCACUUAAGGUGGUAGCAGCCAUUUCUCGAACCUGGAGAGAUAAUUAAUCAUUUCUAUUAGAACUGAGAUCCUAAGUCUGAGAUGAUAAAGGACAGAGUGGCACUGAAAAGUUGGGUGGAGAACUUUCUUAGAAUUGUAUGUAAAAUUUACUUUUUCUUUCAUUUUUAUGACAGCCAUUACCAGAUUCCCCAGGUUUCUGUGGCCUCAAAUGGAUAAAAGCUGUAUCAGGGUUACAAAAGUAUAACUAUUAUACAUAAAAUAAAAUUUCUCCACAAAUUAACACAUAAAAUAAUAAAUGUUCAAAAAAUAAACAAGAAAGUCAACAUUUUGCUCUGUAUUCCUUGAGAGGUUCUUUGUACUGUCAUUUGGUUGCCCUGUUUUCUAUAAAUAUGUGCUACUGGGACUGAAUUUGAGAGCUAAGCAAGUACUCCAUCACUGAGGCCUCUUUUUAAUUUGUAUUUUGAAACAAGGUCUCACACAAUUGCCCAGGUCCCUACCUAUGUUAGAACAGUGUUCUAUCAGUGAGUUCCAUCCCUAAUCCCUUUUGUUUUCAGGUAGACAGGAUCUUGUUAAGUUGCCCAGGCUGAUGCUCAUGAACUUCCAAUCUUCUUUCCUCAAACAUCAGCGUAUCACAGGUGUGCACUACCACAUCCAGCUAGACAGUUACUGCAUUUACCUUUUGAUGGAUUUUGACUGAUUUAGGAUAACCCAAUGUGAAGGACUCAACAAUUUACGAACUCUGUACUAUCAACUCUGUACAAAGAGUAAUGCUGACAUGCUGUAACACAGAAUUGGAAUGUGGGCAGUAGUCACACUGGCCAGCAGCAACACACUGCUUUGUGGAUAAACAGAAGACAUAUUAAAAGUGCUGCCUGCCUCCUCUGAUCUCACACCUGUGUCUGCCCUCCUUUCUCGUCAGCACCUCCUCCCUACACAGACCAACCUUGGUAAGAACCAGGAAGAACAAUGAUAGUACAACAGCUCACCAGCAGGUUGAGCAACAUUGUAUUUUUCUUGAAUAAUUUACUUUUUUUACUAUUUGUAAUUAUUACUUGCUCCAUGAUGCACACCUGGAACUCAGACCAUCAGGCUUGGCAAUAGGAGCCUUUUACUUGCUAAAUUAUCUCACUGGGCCUGAAUUUUAUUUAUAAAAAGAUACUUUUCACUACAGAUCUAAGAAAACACUACUUUUAAUUUUGAUGUUCCGAGAAGACUCAUUCUAAGUGACAGUAAGCUAAGGACCAUACAUUUUCUUGGGAGGAUGUUUUUCAAUUAAUAAUAGAUUGAAAAUAAAAACAACUUUUCUUUACAGCCAGUCUCAUCAACAGUUAGAUUUAAGUAGUAGUGGUCCACAGGAAAGAAGGUGACCACUUCUGAUCAUUACUUGCUUUCUCAAUUUUUCACUUUGUCUAAGUUCUUGCUCUGGUUUACUAAGACUCUUCAAAUCCAGAUUUGACUUUCAUAGUUCUUUCCAUUAUUAACAAAAUUUGCAGACCAGAACUAUAGAGGCAAAGUGAAAAGCAUCCAUUUCCUCAACGAGCACAGCCAAACCCUGUGAUGAGGCCUGAGCAGCUUUACUGGGUUCAGUAAGCAAAUGUCAUCCAGACUGUAGGGUACUCACAGACUGUUUAUAACAAAUUCAGUGAGCCAGGUGGUGGCACACACCUUUAAUCCCAGCACUCA